rnacentral:tRNA from 1 species
UGGCUCAGUGGUAGAGUGCUUGCCUUGCAAGCAUGAGGUCCUGGGUUCGAUUCCUCAG